rnacentral:rRNA from 1 species
GAAGGGAGCUUGCUCCCGGAUGUUAGCGGCGGACGGGUGAGUAACACGUGGGUAACCCUGCCCUGUAAGACUGGGAUAACUCCGGGAAACCGGAACCUAAUACCGGAUAGUUCCUUGAACCGCAUGGUUCAAGGAUGAAAGACGGUUUCGGCUGUCACUUACAGAUGGACCCGCGGCGCAUUAGCUAGUUGGUGAGGUAACGGCUCACCAAGGCGACGAUGCGUAGCCGACCUGAGAGGGUGAUCGGCCACACUGGGACUGAGACACGGCCCAGACUCCUACGGGAGGCAGCAGUGGUCUGA